AGGUGUAUGAUUGGUUAUAAAAUACUAGGGAUGGGAAGACUAGUCGUAAUAGUUGACUACGACUAGCUAGCAUCCAAGUAGUCGACUAUUUUUUAUUAGUCGACUAGUUGAAAGCCAUUUAUUAAGUUCAUUU